rnacentral:rRNA from 1 species
UACGUAGGGUGCAAGCGUUAAUCGGAAUUACUGGGCGUAAAGCGUGCGCAGGCGGUUGGGCAAGACAGAUGUGAAAUCCCCGGGCUUAACCUGGGAACUGCAUUUGUGACUGCACGGCUAGAGUACGGUAGAGGGGGAUGGAAUUCCGCGUGUAGCAGUGAAAUGCGCAGAUAUCAGGAGGAACACCAGUGGCGAAGGCGGCUUCCUGGCCUGUUCUUGACGCUGAGGCGCGAAAGCUAGGGGAGCAAACGGG